GACGAACGCUGGCGGCGUGCUUAACACAUGCCAGUCGAACGGAAAGGCCCUGCUUUUGUGGGGUGCUCGAGUGGCGAACGGGUGUGUAACACGUGAGUAUCCUGCCCUUGACUUUGGGAUAACUUCAGGAAACUGGGGCUAAUACCCGAUAGAAGCUCCUGCUCCAUGUGGGUGGUUGGAAAGUUUCGGCGGUUGGGGAUGGACUCGCGGCUCAUCAGCUUGUUGGUGGGGUAGUGGCUUACCAAGGCUUUGACGGGUAGCCGGCAUGAGAGGGUGACCGGGGACAUUAGGCCUGAGAUACGGCGCAGACUGCUACGGGAGGCAGCAGUGGGGAAUAUGGCACAGUGGGCGGAAGCCUGAUGCAGAGACGCCGCGUGCGGGAUGCCGGGCUUCGGGUUGUAAACCGAUGUCGCAUGUGCCGAAGCGUGCGUGACGGUAAUGGGUCAAGAAGCACCGGCUAACUACGUG
rnacentral:rRNA from 1 species